rnacentral:misc_RNA from 1 species
GAUGAAGAACGUAGCGAAAUGCGAUAAGUAAUGCGAAUUGCAGAAUUUCCGUGAGUCAUCGAAUCUUUGAACGCACAUUGCGCCCAUUGGUAUUCCGAUGGGCAUGCCUGUUCGAGCGUCAUUAUCUUCCCUCAAACCUCGCGUUUGGUGUUGGGCCGUGCUGGUUCCUGCGUGACCAACUGGCCUCAAAGACAAUGACGGCGUCCGUGGGACCCUCGAUGCAACGAGCUUCUCAGGAGCACGCGUCGAGUUUCAAGGACCUUCCGGGCCGGUCUCUUCUCAUGUUAUUACAAGGUUGACCUCGGAUCAGGUAGGGAUACCCGCUGAACUUAAGCAUAUCAAUAAGCGGAGGA